CCUGGGUGGAUCAAGGUGGUGAUCUCUUUUCGUCCUGUAGCAAAGUAGACUUGUGGGUGUGGUCUGCCUUCACUGAGAUGGAAAUAAGAAAUUACAACUAGAGACCAUCAGAUCUGUAAGGCCUGGAGAGCCACGCAGAAGGAUGCAGACUGGUCAUCGGGCAGGAGUAUUGGUGCACAGAUGGCCAGUAUUGGAGGCUGAGACUUGAGAGAUGUCAAACAUCUGAGUGGGAUGGGAAAAAAUGAAGCUGAGAGUGUUGCAAUGAACUUCCCAAGGUCAUUCAUCUGGAGUCACAUCCAGAGGAUGCUCAAUAUAUUGACUGAAAGAUAAGACUGAAGGAUUUAAUGGGAGUUGGCAGCACUCUCUUAACUGCUCGUCGAAGACAAAUAAUUGGGAUCUUUCUAUGCUACAAACGCUUGACAUCAGAGAACACUUUCAGAAACCAAGACCCAUGCUGGAUAAAAAAGGCAGAAACAAAGAAUCAACAAGACACAAAGGUUACAGACAUCCCCCAAAUGCAUCCAAGAACAGCUUCUCUUCAGCUCCAGUAACAGCCAUGCCAGGGCUGAGUUCAGAGAUGAAAAGCAGUAGUCCUUUUUGACGUUCAAAUACAGAGUAAUAUUGGAGAUACGAGG
rnacentral:lncRNA from 1 species